rnacentral:rRNA from 1 species
GACGAACGCUGGCGGCGUGCCUAAUACAUGCAAGUCGAACGGAGUGGCGCACGGGUGAGUAAUAUAUAGCUAAUCUGCCCCUUUCUGGAGGACAACAGGUAGAAAUGACUGCUAAUACUCCAUAGCAAGGGAUGAGACUAUAUCGUAUCAGCUCGUCGGUGGGGUAACGGCCUACCGAGGCUAUGACGCGUAACUGGUCUGAGAGGAUGAUCAGUGACAUUGGCACUGAGACGCGGUACAAACUCCUACGGGAGGCAGCAGUAGGGAAUAUUGCGCCAUGGGGGAAACCCUGACGCAGCAACGCCGCGUGGAGGAUGACACUUUGCGGAGCGGAAACUCCUUUUGGUAGGGAAGCGGUACCUAACGAAUAAGCACCGGCUAACUCCGUGCCAGCAGCCGCGGUAAUUC